AUCCCUAAAUCGACCAGUCCUCUGUUCUCCUCCCUUUCCCAAAUCAACCAGGUCUUUCACUCGCUUCUCGCUGCUGCCAACCGCUGGCCGCCGGCCUUGCCAACUUCCACGCCCUCCGUAGUGAGGGCCCUCCAGGCCGCCACGACGGGUGUGGGGUGUCUGCUGAUGUUUGCUGCUUCUUCUCCUUCCCUCACUACCUUCUCCGCUCGUGUUGCCUACUGCCGCCGACUGAUAAAUUAAUCGGUGAACUGUUGUUGAAGGGCCGAAGGAGCAAGACUGCUGCAAGAGGAAAGUAACACUGGCGAAACAGCAAACCAUGGUCCAGGAAAGCAUAUAUGUAGUUAUUGGCCAUAUGCAGGCAUCUUUUGGUCAGUCUGGUGUGUUCUAUAGUUGUCGCCAUGGACAACUUUUGGCCAGGCCGAUGUAUUCUACAGUUGAGGCAAUGGUGCACUUUUGGCCAGUCUGGUGUAUUCUAUAGUUGUGGCAAUGGAGUGGUCAUUAUCCACAAUACCAGGUUAUCUACAGAGCUACAGCUUGGAUCCGUAUGUGGUCAUUACUCACUCAUGCGGACUCCAUGGAGCUUUUGGUUAUUGGGUGCAACCGGUGGGAGACAGUAGCACGGCCUAUCUUCAGCUGAUUUGGAUGACGAGCUAAUAAUAGAAAGACUAUAGGCAUCGUAGCCUAUUCUGUUUGGCCGGAUGUGGCAUCUUUUUUGUGUUUUCUUUCGUUUUGCACUAAGAUUGUGGGCCUUUUGUGGUCCUAAGACUUUGUUACAUUACUUUUAAGAUGGUUGUAUGCAUCGAUUGAUGCAGAGGCUGGAGGUUUUUUCUCCUUUAAAAAAAUGCGACCAAGAGGAGGAGACCCCGGCACAUCUUAUCUUUGGGUGCCCUUACUCCAGAUGACAUUCCAGGGCUUGCUGCUGCAUCGUUGGCUGAAACUUCUAUCUUAGCUUGGUGGAAUGAAAUCAUUUGCCCUUUUGGAGCCAAGGCCUGCUCCACGGCCAUCUACACUCGAUGGAACAUAUGGAAGGAGAGGAAUAGGAGGAUCUUCGAUAGCAAACUCUUGCGGGAACACUAUCUGCUGGAGCUCAUCAAAACUGACAUUUUUCAGCCGGCACUCUCCAUGCACUGGCUUAGCGACACUGAGAAUGCCCUAGAACCUGAGCCUGAUUAACUUCGAAGCACUAGUUUCUAGUUUCCGUACUCCCU